rnacentral:rRNA from 1 species
AGUGGCGGACGGGUGAGUAACGCGUGAGGAACCUGCCUUUCAGAGGGGGACAACAGUUGGAAACGACUGCUAAUACCGCAUGACACAUAGAUGUCGCAUGGCAUUUAUGUCAAAGAUUUAUCGCUGAAAGAUGGCCUCGCGUCUGAUUAGCUAGUUGGUGAGGUAACGGCCCACCAAGGCGACGAUCAGUAGCCGGACUGAGAGGUUGAACGGCCACAUUGGGACUGAGAUACGGCCCAGACUCCUACGGGAGGCAGCAGUGGGGAAUAUUGGGCAAUGGGCGCAAGCCUGACCCAGCAACGCCGCGUGAAGGAAGAAGGCUUUCGGGUUGUAAACUUCUUUUGUCAGGGACGAGUAGAAGACGGUACCUGACGAAUAAGCCACGGCUAACUACGCGCCAGCAGCCGCGGUAAUACGUAGGUGGCAAGCGUUGUCCGGAUUUACUGGGUGUAAAGGGCGUGUAGCCGGGAGGGCAAGUCAGAUGUGAAAUCCACGGGCUCAACUCGUGAACUGCAUUUGAAACUACUCUUCUUGAGUAUCGGAGAGGC